GCCCGAGUGACGGAAUGGCAGACGUGGCGGUCUCAAAAACCGUUGUCGAAAGACGUGCGAGUUCGACUCUCGCCUCGGGCACCA
rnacentral:tRNA from 5 species